AGGGGUCCGUUUCACAAAGCAGGUUCAACAAACUCUGAGUCAAAUCCUGAACUCUGAGUUGAUCUACUCUGAGAUAGGAAACUCUGAGUUUUCGGUUUCACAACAGCUGAUUUGAGUUGGUUUAAUCAACUCAGAGUAGUUUAACCUGGAGUUAAACAUGAGCUCCACAGACAUAUAAAGCCAGCAUCAAUGGAGCCCAGAUUCGAUGAUUGAACAUGGAAACUGACAGAAAGAGGGCAGCAUUUUUCACCCCAAUAGAAUUGGAAAUAUUAAUGACUGCAUAUGGAGAAUAUGAGCAUGUCUUUAGAAAGAAGUGCAACACUGCAGCGGCUGCUAAAGAGAGGGAGAGGGCAUGGGAGAGCAUUGCUGCUCGGGUCAAUGCGUGCAAUCCGGCGGGGGAGAAGCGCACUUGGCAGCAACUUAAGAUGAAAUAUAAAAACAUUGUUCAAACAGGUCAGACAUCUGCAUGACUUGACUCUGAACUUCUUUGAUCCCUUCCAUAAUGCUCUUUUAACACUCAAAAAUGUCUUCUUUAUAUUGUAUUAAACAAUGAAGCCUGGGGCUGGGCAGCAGCAGGAGACUCCCCUGACCUCAACUGCAGAGAUUGACACAUUACCAGUAAAAGAAAUUUAUAAAAUUCACCUCCUAAAAAAAAUCCAGAAGACCGAUAAAGAAAUGCUAUACCUCGACCGCCAGAUUAAAAAAGCAGAUUUGGAAAUCCAAAUACUGGAACAUAAAUUAAAGG